rnacentral:misc_RNA from 1 species
GGACAACAGAGGUAUUCGUACCAAAGAAAUUAAUACAAUGACAUUUAAACUUACAAGUGGGCCUGCAGAGGUCGCCUUCAAGACUACUUAAUUCAAGCUUUCACACAGCAGUUGAAGCAGCUUAGAAUGCUCUUUCUUGUUGGUGGAGGGUGGUGACUCUGAUGAUAGGGGUGAUGAUUAUCAGUAGGGAAAGGGUCUGUUGUGGUUGGAGGUGCGGCUGAGGCAACGAGCUCCUCUUCAUUUCCAAGACUCGCCCGAGACACAUCUCUCUUGUUUUGUUUCCUAUUUUCCCUAAGUUUUGAGAAAUCAAGCGAGUAGUCAGGCAGCUGUCCCUUCUGGUCCCAAUCUCCAAACUGUGGCACUGAAAGCCAGGGAGCAGUUUUCUCCUUCCUAUCAUCCAUCUGCAAGUUCUCACUUGACAACACAACGAAGAACACCGGACAAGAAGACGCUUGAAGUAGCAAGAGGAGAGUUCAAG